ACUUUUUCAUGAAAACGUCCUUUAACAGAGAGGUCAAAUGGCAUGAUCAGAUAGUCAAAACGAACAAAAACGUGUGAAAAAUAUAAACUGGACAAAAAGCUCAGUGGUUCUUGGUAAUUUUCGCCGUUUGUGGUAAAUUUGAAUCCCAGGUCGCGGGGGUUGAAAGGCAUGGGGGAGCAGAGGACGGGGACUGGCAGCCCUGGAUCUCCUCCUCCAAUGGGAUAAUGCUGCCAGCCGCUGUGCCUGCUGGCUGUGUGGACUCCACACGGCCGUGGGGAGCCCCUUCCCUACUACUCUGGGCUUUCACAGUACACUUCCUGAAGAGGAGCCACGCUCUGUAUGCUGACCUUCAAUGGACUGAAGUCAUUUUCUGAAAGAGGGAG